UACGGAGGAUCCAAGCGUUAUCCGGAUUUAUUGGGUUUAAAGGGUGCGUAGGCGGCUUAUUAAGUCAGGGGUGAAAGACGGUGGCUCAACCAUCGCAGUGCCCUUGAUACUGAUGAGCUUGAAUGAACUAGAGGUAGGCGGAAUGUGACGAGUAGCGGUGAAAUGCAUAGAUAUGUCACAGAACACCGAUUGCGAAGGCAGCUUACUAUGGUUUUAUUGACGCUGAGGCACGAAAGCGUGGGGGAUCAAACAGG
rnacentral:rRNA from 1 species